rnacentral:rRNA from 1 species
UCCUACGGGAGGCAGCAGUGAGGAAUAUUGGGCAAUGGAGGCAACUCUGACCCAGCCAUGCCGCGUGCAGGAAGACUGCCCUAUGGGUUGUAAACUGCUUUUAUACAGGAAGAAACACUGCUACGUGUAGCAGCUUGACGGUACUGUAAGAAUAAGGACCGGCUAACUCCGUGCCAGCAGCCUCGGUAAU